rnacentral:rRNA from 1 species
CUUAGUACGGCGAGUGAGCGGUAAAAGCUCAAAUUUGAAAUCUGGUACUUUCAGUGCCCGAGUUGUAAUUUGUAGAAUUUGUCUUUGAUUAGGUCCUUGUCUAUGUUCCUUGGAACAGGACGUCAUAGAGGGUGAGAAUCCCGUUUGGCGAGGAUACCUUUUCUCUGUAAGACUUUUUCGAAGAGUCGAGUUGUUUGGGAAUGCAGCUCAAAGUGGGUGGUAAAUUCCAUCUAAAGCUAAAUAUUGGCGAGAGACCGAUAGCGAACAAGUACAGUGAUGGAAAGAUGAAAAGAACUUUGAAAAGAGAGUGAAAAAGUACGUGAAAUUGUUGAAAGGGAAGGGCAUUUGAUCAGACAUGGUGUUUUUUGCAUGCACUCGCCUCUCGUGGGCUUGGGCCUCUCAAAAAUUUCACUGGGCCAACAUCAAUUCUGGCAGUAGGAUAAAUCAUUAAGAAUGUAGCUACCUCGGUAGUGUUAUAGCUUAUUGGAAUACUGCUAGCUGGGAUUGAGGACUGCGCUUCGGCAAGGAUGUUGGCAUAAUGGUUAAAUGCCGCCCGUCUU